rnacentral:rRNA from 1 species
UGGAUAUCUCUGGGAAACUAGAGCUAAUACAUGUCAACUGCUAUCACGGGGUAGCGUGCAUUUGUUCGUGCUUUCCAAAACCAACACUGGUCGAGCUAAGCCCAUGUGGUGGUGAUGUGCCAGUAUCACUACUGGUGCCUCACCACCAAGGCCGGCUAGUGUGACCUGGUGGCAGUCCCCUGCUGCCAGUCAGCACUUUUCGGUUUGUGUGCGUGCAUACGGCUCGGCCAUGUUUACGGUGAUUCUGAAUAACUGAUGCUGAUCGUACAGGGCCAUCAUCACAGCGUGGAUGCCACCUCCUGGUGGCCUCUCCACCUGUGUAUGUGCUUCGAGCCCACGAUAUUUCAAUCAAAUUCCUGCCCUAUCAUAUUUGUUGGUAAGGUAGCGGCCUACCAAGGUGAUGACGGGUAACGGGGAAUCAGGGUUCGAUUCCGGAGAGGGAGCCUGAGAAACAGCUACCACGUCCAAGGAUGGCAGCAGGCGCGCAAACUAUCCAAUCCAGAUUCUGGGAGAUGGUGACGAGACAUAUUGGGACUCACCAGCAUCGCUGGUUGAGUUACCAGAUAGACUACAACCUAAAACAGUGCUAAAAUAAUCAACAGGAGGGCAAGUCUGGUGCCAGCAGCCGCGGUAAUACCAGCUCCUGUGGCCUAUAUGGUCGUUGUUGCGGUUAAAAAGCUCGUAGCCGAAAUACGGUGCGCUCGAAAGCUGCAUCAGUGCUGAAACUAGCGUCGCCAAGUCACAGAUUGUGAAUGAUGCCACGGUUAGCCACUAAAACAGCCCGGCACCAGCAUCUCGCGACAAUAAACUGUGUGCGUGUGCGUGUGCGUGUUGAAUCAACAUUCGUACCUUGACUGAGUGUGCCGGCCAGCACGCCGACCCCAUGCCAUCAUCACCCUUGGGGGCUGGUGUCACCAUGAGACUCGGCACUGAGUCGUGAGCCUGUGCACACAAGUGCCUGGGGUACGCAUCAUUUGCCAGCCUAAACAGCCAAGCGAGCGUCCAAUCAGCUGGCUGAGUUUACGCGAUUCAGCCCUCAUACUUCUUCAAGUGUGUGCGUGUGGCUGGGCAUGUGCGUGCAAUUACAACUCGGCAUUCGAUCGAUUGGGCCGAGAGCCAUUACGCGUGGCUCACGGUGUGCACAUCACCCUCAGUUGGUCCUAUGUACUAGUAUUCCUCAUCUAAGCGCAUCACACUGUGCCGUGUAGAAUGAUGAUAUGUCGCCGCUGGCUCCUUCACUGUGAGCAACGGCCCGUGGCAUCUAAUCUGCAACAUUCGUGCGACGCAAUCUAUAGUUAUCCCCGCUGUGGUAACUAACAAUGGCUGGGCCCUGCGUUGUGUGCCUCUAACUGUGCGUGGCCAUCACUUCUGGUGGUGGUCACACCGGCAUCAGAGCCACACGCGUCGUCUCAUCGCACAGUGGAUUCAGCGCUGAGACGGCAUUAGAGCGCGCUUUCUCGUCCAGCUCCGGUGCAGGCACUACGAACAGUAGUGGCGACUAUCCUUCACUGGAUACACCGGACGCUGAGCGAAUUGUGCCUUGAGUAAAAUAGAGUGCUCAAAGCAGGCUAGGCAUGUAACAGUGUCAUUGCCCGUAUACUCCAGCAUGGAACGAAUGUCCAAUUGCUUGAACCACCCUGCGACCUGGUUCGUUGGUUGAAAGUGCGUGUGCGUGUCAAUGAGCGCUUCCAGCGCCCAACUCGUGUGCGUUCUUCGGUACACCCACAUCACACCUCAUCAUGUGUGAGCUGUGGUGUGGGUGGAUCCCAGGUCGUAUCCGCUACGGUGUGUACC